AAAUUGAAGAGUUUGAUCAUGGCUCAGAUUGAACGCUGGCGGCAGGCCUAACACAUGCAAGUCGAACGGUAACAGGAAGCAGCUUGCUGCUUUGCUGACGAGUGGCGGACGGGUGAGUAAUGUCUGGGAAACUGCCUGAUGGAGGGGGAUAACUACUGGAAACGGUGGCUAAUACCGCAUAACGUCGCAAGACCAAAGAGGGGGACCUUCGGGCCUCUUGCCAUCAGAUGUGCCCAGAUGGGAUUAGCUUGUUGGUGAGGUAACGGCUCACCAAGGCGACGAUCCCUAGCUGGUCUGAGAGGAUGACCAGCCACACUGGAACUGAGACACGGUCCAGACUCCUACGGGAGGCAGCAGUGGGGAAUAUUGCACAAUGGGCG
rnacentral:rRNA from 8 species